rnacentral:rRNA from 1 species
CAGAGGUGCCGAGCGUUAGGCGGAAUCACUGGGCUUAAAGCGUGUGUAGGCGGACUUCUAAGUGCCUUGUGAAAUCCCACGGCUCAACCGUGGAACUGCUGGGCAUACUGGGAGUCUUGAGCCACCUAGGGGCGAGCGGAACAAAUGGUGGAGCGGUGAAAUGCGUAGAUAUCAUUUGGAACGCCAAUGGUGAAAACAGCUCGCUGGGGGUGUGCUGACGCUGAGACACGAAAGCCAGGGGAGCAAACGGGAUUAGAUACCCCGGUAGUCCUGGCCGUAAACGAUGUCCACUAGAUCGCAGUGCCUCUGACGGUAUUGCGGUCGAAGCAAAAGUGCUAAGUGGACCGCCUGGGAAGUACGGUCGCAAGGCUA